GUCCCUUUCUUGUUCGGCCCCCUGCCAGGCUCGCGCCCGCGCGGCCCAGGAGGGGGAGACGAAACCGGUCGUCGUCACGGCGCCAGGACGAGCUACCCACUCGGUCCCCAUCGCGAUCCCGCAGCCGCUGCUGCCUGUACUGCUCUUCCUGCUCCCGCUCGAGCUUUUGCUUGAGAUCUUGGUCGCGGUUGCGGCGGUAGCCGCCCUGGGACUCUUUGAAGGAGCGCUUCCCGUAGUAGGAGUUCCCGUAAUAGUAUCUAACUUGUCUAACACUGAAACUUGUUCGAAUCUGCCUCGAUUCCUCCCUCCCUUUCAUCCCCUACCUCGUCACUAGCUCGAUCCCCAUCAAGGUUGUAACAUGGAAUUCAGAGGCCUUGCGAUCAACGCCAUCGGCGUACUCAUGUUGGCUCUGGUCCUACAUCAGACCCAGGUGGAAGCCUGGGUUUGCUGCUGCAGCUCGGAGGCGCCGCCCAAGCCCGGAUGUGAGGGACGACAUUGCUACAGGGAGGAAAAGCGUUGCUGCUGCCUCCUGGAGCGGGGAGAUAGAUGCGCCUAUCCUUGCAUCGUCAUCGCAGCCUUCUCAGGAUUACAAGAUGCACACGGAGCGGAAGCCAUUGUUGACGUUGCCAAAGCUGCUGCUUAAUCAGGCAGCUGCAUCUGCAUGGGUACAGUCGUACAGAGUACAGACUCUGCAAGGCGCUGACCAUGAAUUCAUGGCAUGUUCUUCAUGUCUUCAGUAAUUAAUCAGAUGUUUUAGUCAAUAAUCAUUUAUGUCAUGUAUCAGUAGUUUACUUUUUCUUUCAGUAAGAGCUGGCCUCGAGAGAAACAAUACCGAAAGUACGCUUUAUGAAUCACUGCAAAUUGAUUUGUCCAUUGGUCAAAA